rnacentral:lncRNA from 1 species
UCAAGUGUGGGAGGGCGUGGGGCAAUGAUGCGGGCUGCUCCUCCGCCUCUGGGGUUCAGCCUGGGGCUCGGCCAGGCUGGCGGUUGGGAAGGCGAGCAUGGACCCUGGAACCCAUUGUCACACCUACUCCCAACCUUGAUGCCGCGGUGACCUCCCGACAAGCUGGCACCUUCGCCAUGGAGUGGCACACACACCUGCUUCAGGACGAGGAGAAGUUGAAUGGGUGAUGCAGGGAGCCGGAGGCACUGCAGGACCAGAGGCCACCCCUCACCAAGGUGGGCAACACGUCAGUGACAAGGAUGCACUCCAUCCGCCCUUCCGACUUAAUAUGAACAAACAUCUGCUGGCACUUCACUCUCACCCUCCAGACCUCAGGCAGGAUGUCUCUUGCCCCUCACGCCACCCGAGCACCAUUUAGGGGCUGGAAUUUUGGGAGAAGUCCUGUUGACUCAGUGGCACUAUGUUGGUUCCACGGACACAGUGCGAAGCCAGCCCAGAGAUGAAGCGGGAGAAUGCAGCUGAGUGAAGGGAGGGCUUUUUCUUAACUCAGAUGUAUUUCUACCUGACGCAGUUUGAAAAAGAACCUGAAGAGGUAAGUUAUUUAAUUAGAUCGUGAGUUUCUGGAGGGCAGAAACUACCCUGGUGACCUCUCCCCUUCGGAUGGGCUAAUACUUGGUGGCAUCUACCCUUACCCUCUACCCUCCCCGAGCUGGGUUUUCUGCCUCUCUCUGUUGUAAUAAUCUGUUGCUGUGUCUUUGUUUUCCACUGAAAACACUGUGAGCUCAGUGAGGACAGAAACUCUAUGUUCCAUGUUUCAGUAUGUCAUCCAACUACCUGUCCAUUCAUUCAACAAGCAGACAUCAUCCAUCCAUCCAUCCACGUAUCCAUCCAUCUCUUCAAUCAUCCAUUUGUGUAACUAUUCGUCUCUCCAUCAUCCAUCCAUCCAUCCAUCCAUCCAUGCAUCCAUCUCUUCAAUCAUCCAUUUGUGUAACCAUCCAUCUCUCCAUUUAUCUAUCCAUCCAUAUAUCCACACAACCAUCCAUCUAUUCUUUCAAAAUGCAAGGGAGUUGCACAAAUGAAGCCAAACUGGAUGAACUACAAGCAAUUAUCCUUUACCCCAGUUCUCAUUUUCUUUCUUUCUUUUUUUUAAAGCCAUUGGCAUUUUAGUAAAAAUUAGUCCUUUCGAGUUUUCUUGGAGUGCAGUGGGUUAAGGAUCUGGAGCUAUCACUGCAGUGGUUUGUGUGGGUGCUGUGUCGAGGGUUUGAUCCUUGGCCCUGGAACCUCCACAUGCUGUGGGCGUGGCCCAAGAAAUCCACAAAAAAUUAGUCCUGUGGUGGCUUUCAGCUCUCUGCUAGGGUGUGGGACAAACAGGUCUUGGGACGGGUCCCAGUGCUCCUUUUCUUCCAAGCACUGUGCUCUGUGUGUAGCACAUAUAUUAACUAAUUGAGUCAGUGGAAUGAAAUCUCCCAAAGACUCCAUGAAGUAGGAUUAUUAUCACCCUUUCUGCUGAGGAAAGUAAAAUCGAGAGAGUUUUAGUAGGUUGCCCAAGGUCACAUGGUUGGUCAGUGUCAAAGUGAGCUUUAUUUAUUUAAUUUUUUGGCCUCGCUCUUGGCCUGCAGCAGGUCUUGGGCUGGGGAUGGAACCUGGACCACAGCAGGGGCCUGAGCCACUGCAGUGACAGUGCUGGAUCCUUAACACGCUGUGCCACCAGGGAACUCCCAGAGCGAGCUUUAAAACUGGUCAUCUGACUGCAGAGCCGGUGAUCUUUGGCCUCACUGUGGUGGGAAACAUUCCUGGGGGAAUGAUUUAAGCGGGGCCCUUAUACCCUCUCUGCCUCUCUCGCCCCCAGUCCUCAUCUCCAAAAGCACAGAGGGCUCUCUCACUGUCCUCUCCCCCAUCCUCCCCUACUGAGAGCAACGUUUCUAACCCAAGGGUAGAGAGGGAAAGAGUGAGAAAGGCCUGAGGGGGCUGUUCCAUCUGGGCCAGGUCAGGGGUGAGGAGGAAGACAAACUCUUCACUGGCAGCCAAGCCUGCUUCUCCCAUGCUCUCCCCUGGGGAGGGUCGGAGCAUCGUGGGUUGCGCAGCUCUGCUCUGAGCAGGCGGCGAUGAGUCAGGGCGUCUAGCAGGGCCAGGGAGGGCCAAGUGAUGCUAGAGGCAUUGGGCCCCAGAAGUCCUUGGGGUUUUGGAGAAAGGAAGCGCGGCUGUUCCAAGUUCACGGGAAGCCAAAUGGAAUUGGCAGAGAGCACUCCUCCGGAGUCCGUGGGGGUUCGCCACCUGACCCCCCGCCCCAACACCUUCAAUUCCCCAGAUCCAGAACCAAGCCCAUUUCCUUUCUGCGUCAUCUCCUCUACCUCCUUCUUUCUCACUCUGGAAAGGACAGCACCAUCGAAUCCUUUUGCAUCUGUUCCACUUUUCUUUCCCUGAUUCUUUAGGUAACAGCACCCCUUUUCUUGGGAUAAUUGCUCCUCUCCCAUUUUAGUUCUAUCAGUGCUCUGCGCUUUCUGGCUGUGGGGAUGGGGACCAUCCGGAUUAGGCUGAUGAUCCUUUUCCCCCAGGCCUCAGCUCCCGGUGUGAGAUGGUCAUGUGACCAAGCCUGACCAAGCAGAGCUCUUCCUUGGGAUUUUUCUAACUGGAGCUGAUAGGGAGAAAUGUCUCUUCUUGGAUGGUGACAAGGCCUUAAAGUCCUGAGCUUGGAGUUCCCAGGCUAGGGGUCAAACGGGGGCUACCGUUGCCGGCCUACAGCAUAGCCACAGCCAUGCCAGAUCGAGCCGUGUCUGUGACCUGCACUGCAUCUUGUGGCAUUACUGGAUCCUUAACCCACUCAGAAAGGCCAGGGGUUGAACCUGCAUCCUCCUGGAUACUAGUUGGGUUCUUAACCUGCUGAGCCACAGUGGGAACCCCUUCAACUCUCCCUCUUGAUGAGCUCUCACCUCUGCUCACGGCACUCCAUCCCCCCAGCCUCCUGGAUUACUGGUGACUCUCGCUCUGGGUCCAGGCUUACCCUCUCCAAUCUCUCUAGCCAGAAUAAUCUUCAUAGCACACAGAUCUGACCUGGUUAUUUCCUUGCUAUAAAUCCUUCAAUGGCUCUCCCAUUGCUCUCAAGAUAAAGUCUUAUCUUAGCCUUUUUAAAAAAAAUCUCUUUAUUUUGAAUAAUUUUUCUAUUUAUAGGAGAGUUGUAAAGAUAUUACAGAGAGUUUCCAUAUGUCCUUUACUCAGCUUCUGUGGAUGGUAACAUCUCACAUAACCAUGGUAUGUUUGCUAAAUGCAAGACAUUAGCAUUGGAACGAUAUUAACUAAAUUAUAGAUUUUGUUCAGAUUUUCACAGUUUUUCCAGUAUUGUUCUUUUUUUGGUUCCAGGUUCUGAUCCAGGAUACCACAUUGCAUCUAGAAGUCCUAACUUUUACUAUUUUUUAAUUUUUUGGCUGCACCCAUGGCAUGCACCAGUAGUGACCUGAGCCACAGCAGUGACAACCCUGCAUCCUUAACCCUGUGAGCAACCAGGGAACUCCCUAGAAGUCCCAGACUUUUUUUUGUUUGCUUUUUUUAGGGCCACACCUGUGACAUAUAGAGGUUCCCAGGCUAGCGGUUGAAUCAGAGCUAUGGCUGCUGGCCUAUGCCAUGGCCGCAGUAACGCCAGAUCUGAGCUGCGUCUGGGACUCACAACCACAGCUCAUGGAGACACCAGAUCCUUUAACCCACAGAGCAAGGCCAGGGGAUUGAACCCGCAUCCUCAUGGAUACUAAUCAGCAUUUUUCCCGCUAUGCUACCAUGGGAACUCCCCAAGUCCCAGCUUUUAAACAGGGCAUUGAAAGCCUUUUGUGAUCUUGGCCUCUGUUUACGUCCAAGCCCAUCUCUAGCCCCUUGUCACACCCUUUUUUUCUCAGGCCACCCUGAAGAACCUGCAAUUCCUCCAGAGGCCUUUUCUUACUCCUGGGCCUCUGUACAUGCUGUUCUGUCUCUGAGGAGCCCAUUUCCCUGUCUUGACCUCACACUUAUUCAUCCUGAAGCUUCCAUUCAGUCAGCUCUCCUAGGAAGCCUUCUUGGCCAAACCCAUCUGGGCUUGGCCAAACCCUGGGCUUCUCCAGCUGCCCUCUGCUCUCUCCAUCCCUGGAUUUUUGGUAAGGUUUUUUAAUUAAAUUAAAUUAUUAUUUUUCUUUUUUGGCCACCGAGCGGCAUAUGGAGUUCCUGAGCCAGGGAUCAGAUCCGAGCUGCAGUUGUGACCUAUGCCGCAGCUGCUGCGAUACGAUCCUUAAAUCACUGUGUCGGGCCAGGGAUCGAACCUGCAUCCUGGUGCGGCAGAGACGCUGCCCAUCCCAUUGUGCCACAGUGGGAACUCCCAUCCCUGGGUUUUUUUAAUCCCAGAUUUUGAUGAUCUGUUUCCUUGUACUCCUCACUAGACUGAAGAAACUUUGGGCUGGUGCCCUGCUUUAUUUUUCUCUGUAGGAACUCAAUGAAUGCUUGCAAAAUGGAUGAAGUUAGGAAAGCGUCCAUAUCCACAAAAGUGUCAGCGAGAGCUCAGAGGGAGACUCUCCUGGCUGGAGGGGAGCCUUCUUGACUUGAUGGCUUGAUGCUUGCAAAAUGGAGCAGUAAACUAACAUCUAUUGAGCACAGAUUCUGUGCUAGGCACGAUUCUCAGUACUUUGCACCCACUAAUUGAAUCCUCACAAAACCCCUCCUAGGUGUGUGCCUGCUUUUCUCCCCAUUUGACAGAUGAAGAAGUACAAGUGAAACAAUUCACCAAGAUGAGCAGUGAUUAGAGGCAGAGCUGGAAUAGACCUGGACUUGCUUCUUCUUUGCUAGACAUUGGGGUGCAUGUGCCCUGUGGACCAGAAAGGGGGCAUGGGUGGUAGGAGGUAGAAUUCCAGGGCGGGACAACUGAUACACCUAAAACAUUUUGGAAGGUAAGCAUGGGUGACCCCACUUCUGGAAGAGUUGCGAUUGUGGGGGGAUGUGUUGUUACCCCCGAGGGUGACAGAUGAUUGGGGGCGGGGGGGGGGAAUAGGUGUUUUGGAGAUGUGGACCUGGAGGAGGGGUGUGAUUGCAGCCUGGUGGCAGAGGCCACCGAUGCUCUCUGGAAUGUAAGUUGGCUGGGGACUAAUUAAUUAGAAAGCUCUGACAACUGGAAGCCACCCAAGAGGAGAACGUCUCAAGGAAGGAAGAACUUAGAGGCCCAGAGAAAGCAGAGCCAUCUGGACCGGGGUGGGGGUGGAGUCCGGAAGAGGCUGCUCACGCGAGGUUCUCGUACGAAAUUCUCGCGAGACGAAUGCUGUAGUUCAUCUGGGCCCCUGCAAACUAUCCCCGGGUUUAUCAUUUCUAGCCUGAGAUUUCCUCCAGCGCAUUGGUACAGCUUUGUACCCGAAGUGGAGGUGCACCUCCUCCCAUGAGUAAUAGCUGCUUUUUGUGCAGUGUUUACGAAAAAGGCCUUUUAAGCUCUCUUGCUUCCAAUUCAUUCUUCCAAGGCCCAAAAGAGGUAGGCAGGCCUCAUUUCCAUGUCCUGUUUACAGAUGAAGAAAUGGAGAUGUACUGAGGAAGAUAACUUGCCUGAGGUCACGCAGCUAGAAAGGGACACAAUAAACAUGGAAUAAAUGAAUAAAUAAG